GUGGAAAUGAUGACAGUGGAAAUUGUUAGUGAAGAAAUGAUUGAUCAUCGCAACCCUGUCGCGCAGGGACUCCCUCUUCCUCAAAGGCAGGUAGGUCGAGGCCCUGCAGCACACCUUGCCACGCAGCAAUGGACCCAAGUAGGGCAUACCAUAGCUCCCACAUCCGAACAGGCCCUAGCUUCCGCCACAUUAAAUGCAGUGCCGGUGCUGGCAUAUGAUAAUGCCCCUGCUGAAGCGGGACCAUCUGGGAGAACUGAUAACAAUAAGAAGAAGAAAAAGAGGUCAAACAGACGCUUGGCAAGAGCAAGGUUUUGUACUUUCCAUCAACUAUAUGGGCAUGACACUAGUGAGUGUCGUGAUGCCAAUCGGUGCCUUGAUUGAAGCAACUCUCACACUUCCAGCAGAAACGAACACCCUCGCAGAUUCACCUCCCCGAGGAGGGGAGGGAGAGGUCACCAGGAAAAAUCUCCUCAGGAACCGAGGCCAAUCCAGGCAGGGGAACCAAGCCCAAUUUUUGGGAGGCCAGGUCAUCAGGGAAAUCGAUACCAUCAUUGGGGGACCCCACAUCGGUGGCAACACCAGGAAUGCCCAGAGAAAUUACACAAGAAAAGCAAAAGAUCCCCCGAUGAUCACUUACAUUGUUAACGAAUCGAAAUCAGCAAAUAAGAUGGCCCCGAUCACCUUCUCCCAGGAAGACUCAGAGGGAGUUCACCACCCCCAUUGCGAUGCUUUGGUUGUAAGAGCCGUAGUAGCUAGAAACGGAUUAAAAUGCAUGCUCGUUGACAAUGGCAGUUCCGUGAACAUAUUGUUC
rnacentral:lncRNA from 1 species